UAUUGUUAUUGUUUUUUGAAUGCUUUGUAAUUCCGGCCAGACAUGGAGACAGAGGUGAAAGAGAAAGGAAGAGACACCUGGAGACUGUCGACGAGGUCAGCAGAGAGCAUUGAAGGAGACCAGCACAGAAGUGGUCAAAAACUCUCUGGAUGAAGCCUGUGAUUCAGGAUGCAGAGCGCUUUCACACCAUGUGCGGGGGUUUCCCUUCUCCUGUCUGGGCAGGUUUGUGCUGCAACUGUAGGAGAGGAGGACUGCAGACAGGAGAUCAAAGAUGGAGGAAUUUAUGUCUGUUAGGCAUCAGACUGUUUCAAAAAUAACAGACUGAAGAGGAGCCGGAUAACGAACGCCAAGGUCAAAUUCUUCCAUGCACUGCCUUCCCUGCUGAAAGACUCUUUUUCUUUAAACAUGUACAUUAUACCUAUAGCAUGAGCUCGCUCAGUGACAUCUUGUGUUUUGAAUAAAUAAAUAAAUAAAUAAAGCACAUAUUGAGGAACGUUUUAACUGAAUAAACUAUUAGUACUUGUGGCUUUAUUGAGUCACACUGAUGAUUUAGAUGAGUCUAUAGAAUCUGCUACUAAAGCUACUAAUGGAAAACCACCAAAAUAAAAUCCCCAGACCAAAUAAACACUUCCUGUGACCCAGUGGCUCAAUAUUUAGAGCUGUGUAUUCAAACGACUAGUUAAAACAUGUUUUACCAGGCGUGCAUCUCGUUUCUUUUCUGUAAUUUUUUUAUAUUAAUUUUUUUUGUCAAUUCUGUGCUCUUUCUUUUAUUUUCACUUUUCACACUCAGCUUGGGUGCCACGUCUUGUGUACGUGUUUUUUUUCUUCAGUCAAAAUCAGAAAGAUCACACAGAAAAAGUGGGUUAUGGUUGAAGUUUCCAUCGUUGCAGCGUAAGCUACUCUCAAGAAAAGUACCAAAAACAUGUGCUUCAACUUUCUGUUUCAUGAACUCAUUACCCUUAAAAGGCAUCAUUCUAAAUAUGGUUAUUUUAGAAUAUUAGGGUUAAUUUUAAAUGUGCUCAUUUUACAUUAGCUAAAUAACCAGAUUUUUACAGAAAUUCAUUGUUAGACGGCGGUAUGUGUGGGAUUUUCUUUCUUAUUUAUUAGAUGCUUUUCUAUAUUAAUAUUAUGAUAAUUUUAUUUAAAGAAUGGUACGUAUUCAAUAAUAAAAAAUUACUAGUGUCAUUGAGGACCGCAGUGCAUUAUGGGAAAGUACAGCCUAAGUGCAAUAAAAUUAAACUCGCCAGAAAUACACCCUUUUAAAUCUGUAUUACGUGUUUGCUGCAAGUGAAACAGUUUAAUUAGAUAAAUAAAUAAUGAAAAUACAUUGAUUAGAGUUUAUUUUAAUGAUUUGUGUGUGCGUUUAUAGUUUGGUGCUGGAAAAUAUCAUUCUCAUCCUUUUAUAAAAUGCAAUUGUCUGCUCUUUAAUCAAAAUCUCAUUAUUUGGCAGCAUACACUACUCAUAUAGGCACAAUCCCACUACUUGCACUUGCACCCUUGCGCUCUUCGUUUGCGCGUUCCCGGCCAGGGGUGCGAGUGCGUAGGGUGUCCCGAUUCUCAAGUGCGGAAGUUGACCAAGCCCCCAUUGCACCCUUAAUGUGCACUUCACCCAAGGCCCAAACCUAAUACUCCCACUGCGUCUUCAGCAAAGUGCACUUGGAGAAAGUGUGCAGUAGGGUUCGAGUGCGAAGUACUCAAGUGUGCAAAUAAUUGCCGAAUUGAGACAUCUUAUUGGUCAUAAGAUAACCCCCUCAAUCUCAUUACAUAAUAACUCUACAGGGAGCACUGUGUCAUCGAUCACAACGCAUGCCGGGAUGCUGGUCGCUUUGAAACUUUUCAAAUACCUUUAUUAACAACUUUCAAACAAACAACAAUGCAAUUACUUGAAAUAAAUUCUCCUGCUGCAAUGAAUUGUGGGUAAGUCCCUUGCCUGAGGUCCACAUCACUGCGGACUUGGGUGAAGUGCAGAUUAAGUGUGCA